GCGGAGCGGCCCCGCCGCAGCCCCGCUGCCUGCCCGGCCCUUGGGAUUCACUAUGGCCAUUGCUGGGGUGUGCAUUAGCGGCUGUGAGAACAAAACCAUCGCGUCUCUCACUCGGGGGUAAAAUGAGUUCUGUGACGGCCUUACUGCCAGUGGAAAAACAUUUCAGGUCACUACAACAGACACCUCUGUGCAGGGAGGGUUGAGAAUGGAAGCGCGGUAAUUACCCUACACUACAAGAAAUUAAAAAGCAAGCAGAGAGGUUAUUGCUUUAUCCAACGUGUAUUAAUUACAAGGACUUUGAGCAAUCAGGACUUUGAGCUCCCAAGCUGGAAGAAUUUUUUGGCAAGGAUUUUAGGGUACCAGGAUACUUGCAGAACUUACUGACAAGAGUGGACAUCAGCUAUGGCCAGGGAAGCUCAGACACCUCAACCCUGCACUACUCCUGACUCUGUGUUACUCCUGGCUCUGCACACCAACUACUUCUAACAGGAAAAUACAGGAGGAAGACACCAUUCUGUAAGAAUUUAAACUCCACAGUCCCUUGGAGGAAUUAACAGCUGACUAUCUAAUCAGUCUUUCAGUUUCCACUGCUGGCACCAGACUUGCCAGUCUGCAGUUAAAUGCCAGGGAAUUGCACAACAGCCCAGGAACACCUGAGUAAGAAAAGCUGUGAGGAAUUAGUUUGUUUUGCUUGUUUUAAGUGUUCCUGAGGAGACAUUAAAAGUAAAGUGAUCAAAUCAGCAUGACCAGCAGGAGGUGUUGUACAAAAAUCCCUUUGUUCAAAAAAAGACAAGAAAAAGGAUUAUUAACUUACAGUGAUCUCCAUCCCUAAGAACUAUUUGUGCCCAUUGAGGAAGCAGUGGCAGUGUCUACAUGGCUGGACAAAUGUGAAGUAGGAAAUAGUCUGUGGGAAAUAAAACCAGCCU